UGGGGAAUCUUCCGCAAUGGGCGAAAGCCUGACGGAGCAAUGCCGCGUGAGUGAAGAAGGCCUUCGGGUUGCAAAACUCUGUCCUAUUUGAAGAGAGAUCGGUGUGAAAAUAUUGCAUCGGUAGGACGGUAAAAUAGGAGGAAGCCCCGGCUAACUACGUGCCAGCAGCCGCGGUAAUACGUAGGGGGCAAGCGUUGUCCGGAAUCAUUGGGCGUAAAGCGUUCGUAGGCGGUAUGUCAAGUCUGGUGUUAAAGCCCGAGGCUCAACCUCGGUUCGGCAUUGGAUACUGGCAAACUAGAAUGUGGUAGAGGUAAAGGGAAUUCCUGGUGUAGCGGUGAAAUGCGUAGAUAUCAGGAGGAACAUCGGUGGCGAAAGCGCUUUACUGGACCAUUAUUGACGCUGAGGAACGAAAGCCAGGGGAGCAAAUG
rnacentral:rRNA from 1 species